rnacentral:rRNA from 1 species
UGCCAGACUCCUACGGGAGGCAGCAGUAGGGAAUCUUUCACAAUGGGCGAAAGCCUGAUGGAGCAACGCCGCGUGCAGGAUGAAGGCCUUCGGGUUGUAAACUGCUUUUAUAAGCGAGAAAUAUGAUGGUAACUUAUGAAUAAGGAUCGGCUAACUACGUGCCAGCAGCCGCGGUCAUACGUAGGGGGCAAGCGUUAUCCGGAUUUACUGGGUGUAAAGGGAGCGUAGACGGCCAGACAAGUCUGAAGUGAAAAUCCAGCGCUUAACGUUGGAAGUGCUUUGGAAACUGCCGGGCUGGAGUGCAGGAGGGGCAGGCGGAAUUCCUAGUGUAGCGGUGAAAUGCGUAGAUAUUAGGAGGAACACCAGUGGCGAAGGCGGCCUGCUGGACUGCAACUGACGUUGAGGCUCGAAGGCGUGGGGAGCAAACAGGAUUAGAUACCCCCGUA